CGGACGGGUGAGUAAUGUCUGGGAAACCGCCCGAUGGAGGGGGAUAACUACUGGAAACGGUAGCUAAUACCGCAUAACGUCGCAAGACCAAAGAGGGGGACCUUAGGGCCUCUUGCCAUCGGAUGUGCCCAGAUGGGAUUAGCUAGUAGGUGGGGUAAUGGCUCACCUAGGCGACGAUCCCUAGCUGGUCUGAGAGGAUGACCAGCCACACUGGAACUGAGACACGGUCCAG
rnacentral:rRNA from 1 species